GUAGAAGAAAAUUUCAUCAUUCCAACGUAGAAUUUCAGCUACGCAAGUAGUUUGAAUAAGAGUACUUGUGCCGGUGUUAUUUUCAGAAUUGAAAGAUCGCCGAACAAUGAGUUCUUUGGAUUUACACAAUACUGACCGCAAAUCAGCUCCAUUAGAAAUAAAUUUCACGUAAAGUGCAAACAUUAAAACAGAAAUGCAUGAGCUGAGCUAAAAAAGUUGAACUCGGCGAGUCUGAAAUAACGUAGAGAAUUUGUUUGACAAUGAAAAAAAAAUGACAGAGCUCGGGUGAGCAUAGACGACGAUCUGAAACAAAAUAAAAAUUACCUCGGGUGAUGAAAAAAACGAUAAGUUUGAGUGAACGAUCAACAGUGAGUUGUUCUACGAACGCCUCAAGUAUGAAGUAUGGACGGAAUAAGCAUAUUUCUCUCUCUAACUUUUAAAUACAAAACUGGGCAAAGCUAGAUGGAUGACACAGGGCAUAACACAAACUUUUAAUCCAGCUGUUCAAAACCUUCCACAAUGUUGGUUCGGACAUUUGCCUACUUGAAAAAUGAGAAAAGCAUGGACCGGUUGGAUCCGCGGUUUUGAACAUGUCAUGACAGCGUCGAUCAUUUUUGACAGCUCCAUAAAAAAAGGCGGUGCUAAAUAUUUUCGAGUGUAAUGCGAGUUGGUCCUGGCUUCAUUACUGAUGCUGGUAAAAGCAAAGCAAAGUCUUGGCAUUACAUUCCUUUUGUGGAAUUUGGCCUUUCUGUUUCAACAGACUUCGCAGCCGAUUCUUAGUGUACAGAAUCAUUGCAUGGCUAGUACUAUGGAUCCUACUGACACUAAGAAUCCUUCCAGAUCGGGGCUCGAACAUACGACAGCUGGCUUGUAAGACCAGCGUCCUAUGCAUUGAACCGCCAACCCGGGUGCAGGAAUCGUUAUACAAAUGUUAAUUAACCUUAUUGAUAAUAGUAUAUGGAACAUGAUAUUAUAUUAAUUAGUUUGUGAGUUAUUGUGCUAACAGAGACGCUACUUUUGUUACUUUCAGAGCAAUGGUUCAAAAACAAUUUCGUUUUAUG